CGAGCACGCGCGUGUGGCAUAUCAAUAAGCGGAGGAAAAGAAACUAACAAGGAUUCCCUUAGUAACGGCGAGUGAAGCGGGAAGAGCUCAAAUUUGAAAUCUUCAAGGUUCUACCUUGACGAAUUGUAGUUUAUAGAAGUGUUUUCUGUUAGUGGAGUGGCGAAAGUUCUUUGGAAUAGGACAUCAUAGAGGGUGAGAAUCCCGUAUUUGGUCAUUCCUCCUAGCGUUGUGAUACACUUUCAACGAGUCGGAUUGUUUGGGAAUGCAGUCCAAAAUGGGUGGUAAAUUUCAUCUAAAGCUAAAUAUUGGCGAGAGACCGAUAGCGAACAAGUACCGUGAGGGAAAGAUGAAAAGAACUUUGAAAAGAGAGUUAAACAGUACGUGAAAUUGUCAAAAGGGAAGCGUUUGACACCAGUGUUGUUUUUCCGAAAAUCAAUUACGAAUGUUUUGUUUUUGAGGAGUUAUGGACUUCAUCGGCUUGCUCCUUUCUUUACGAAACUUUCUUAAUGCACUUUUCGGUUAACAAGUCAACAUCAAUUUCUUUUGUUGUAAAAGGGUAUGAGGAAGGUGGCUUUCUUUUCGGAGAAAGUGUUUAUAGCCUUGUGCCUCUACAAUCGGAGAGAUUGAGGUCUGCAGCGUAGAUCCUUCGGGGUUAGAUACGUUUGUGCUAAGUUAUAGCUUUUCAUAGACAACUUGUUGACUAUGUUUAGUCUUGUAGCUUACUCGCUUAUGCUAUUUUACCUACGCUUAGGAUGUUGAGUAGCGACAUACGCAC
rnacentral:rRNA from 1 species